GACGAACGCUGGCGGCGUGCUUAACACAUGCAAGUCGAACGAAGCGCGAUGGGAGCUUGCUUCUAUCAAGUAUAGCGGCGAACGGGAGAGUUACGCGCAAUCAACCUGCCCUUAAGAGGGGGUCAACAGUAGGAAACGCCUGCUAAUAACGCAUAAUAGCUAACCUUUGCAUCGAGGAAGGAUUAAAGGUGGGCUGGGUGUAUAAGCUAUCACUGCAAGAGGGGAUUGCGGCUUAUUAGCGAGGUGGAGGGGCAAUGGGCAUCCAAGGCGAGGAUAAGUAGCCGCUCUGAGAGGAUGAACGGCCACACUGGGACUGGGACACGACCCAGACUACUACGGGUGGCAGCCGUGGCGAACCUUCCGCGAUGGACGAAAUUCUGACGGUUCAACGCCGCGUGAGUGAUGACGGCCGUCGGGUUGUGAAACUCAGUUAGGCGGGACGGAAGGCCUUCUUGCUCAUCGUGGGAGAGAUUGACGGUACCGGAAUAGAAAGCCACGGCUAACUACGUG
rnacentral:rRNA from 1 species